rnacentral:rRNA from 1 species
GAUGAACGCUGGCGGCGUGCCUAAUACAUGCAAGUCGAGCGAACGGACGAGAAGCUUGCUUCUCUGAUGUUAGCGGCGGACGGGUGAGUAACACGUGGAUAACCUACCUAUAAGACUGGGAUAACUUCGGGAAACCGGAGCUAAUACCGGAUAAUAUUUUGAACCGCAUGGUUCAAAAGUGAAAGACGGUCUUGCUGUCACUUAUAGAUGGAUCCGCGCUGCAUUAGCUAGUUGGUAAGGUAACGGCUUACCAAGGCAACGAUGCAUAGCCGACCUGAGAGGGUGAUCGGCCACACUGGAACUGAGACACGGUCCAGACUCCUACGGGAGGCAGCAGUAGGGAAUCUUCCGCAAUGGGCGAAAGCCUGACGGAGCAACGCCGCGUGAGUGAUGAAGGUCUUCGGAUCGUAAAACUCUGUUAUUAGGGAAGAACAUAUGUGUAAGUAACUGUGCACAUCUUGACGGUACCUAAUCAGAAAGCCACGGCUAACUACGUGCCAGCAGCCGCGGUAAUACGUAGGUGGCAAGCGUUAUCCGGAAUUAUUGGGCGUAAAGCGCGCGUAGGCGGUUUUUUAAGUCUGAUGUGAAAGCCCACGGCUCAACCGUGGAGGGUCAUUGGAAACUGGAAAACUUGAGUGCAGAAGAGGAAAGUGGAAUUCCAUGUGUAGCGGUGAAAUGCGCAGAGAUAUGGAGGAACACCAGUGGCGAAGGCGACUUUCUGGUCUGUAACUGACGCUGAUGUGCGAAAGCGUGGGGAUCAAACAGGAUUAGAUACCCUGGUAGUCCACGCCGUAAACGAUGAGUGCUAAGUGUUAGGGGGUUUCCGCCCCUUAGUGCUGCAGCUAACGCAUUAAGCACUCCGCCUGGGGAGUACGACCGCAAGGUUGAAACUCAAAGGAAUUGACGGGGACCCGCACAAGCGGUGGAGCAUGUGGUUUAAUUCGAAGCAACGCGAAGAACCUUACCAAAUCUUGACAUCCUUCGACAACUCUAGAGAUAGAGCUUUCCCCUUCGGGGGACAAAGUGACAGGUGGUGCAUGGUUGUCGUCAGCUCGUGUCGUGAGAUGUUGGGUUAAGUCCCGCAACGAGCGCAACCCUUAAGCUUAGUUGCCAUCAUUAAGUUGGGCACUCUAAGUUGACUGCCGGUGACAAACCGGAGGAAGGUGGGGAUGACGUCAAAUCAUCAUGCCCCUUAUGAUUUGGGCUACACACGUGCUACAAUGGACAAUACAAAGGGCAGCGAAACCGCGAGGUCAAGCAAAUCCCAUAAAGUUGUUCUCAGUUCGGAUUGUAGUCUGCAACUCGACUACAUGAAGCAGGAAUCGCUAGUAAUCGUAGAUCAGCAUGCUACGGCGAAGACGUUCCCGGGUCU